rnacentral:rRNA from 1 species
GAUGAACGCUCGCUACAGGCUUAACACAUGCAAGUCGAGGGGCAGCAUGGUCUUAGCUUGCUAUGGCCGAUGGCGACCGGCGCACGGGUGAGUAACACGUAUCCAACCUGCCGUCUACUCUUGGACAGCCUUCUGAAAGGAAGAUUAAUACAAGAUGGCAUCAUGAGUCCGCAUGUUCACAUGAUUAAAGGUAUUCCGGUAGACGAUGGGGAUGCGUUCCAUUAGAUAGUAGGCGGGGUAACGGCCCACCUAGUCUUCGAUGGAUAGGGGUUCUGAGAGGAAGGUCCCCCACAUUGGAACUGAGACACGGUCCAAACUCCUACGGGAGGCAGCAGUGAGGAAUAUUGGUCAAUGGGCGAGAGCCUGAACCAGCCAAGUAGCGUGAAGGAUGACUGCCCUAUGGGUUGUAAACUUCUUUUAUAAAGGAAUAAAGUCGAGUAUGGAUACCCGUUUGCAUGUACUUUAUGAAUAAGGAUCGGCUAACUCCGUG